AUACGGAGGAUGCGAGCGUUAUCCGGAUUUAUUGGGUUUAAAGGGAGCGUAGGUGGGAUAUUAAGUCAGCUGUGAAAGUUUGGGGCUCAACCUUAAAAUUGCAGUUGAUACUGGUUUCCUUGAGCACGGUACAGGUGGGCGGAAUUCGAGGUGUAGCGGUGAAAUGCUUAGAUAUCACGAAGAACUCCGAUCGCGAAGGCAGCUCACCGGGCCGGAACUGACACUGAUGCUCGAAAGUGCGGGUAUCAAACAGGAUUAGAUACCCUGGUAGUCCGCACAGUAAACGAUGAAUACUCGCUGUUUGCGAUACACUGUAAGCGGCCAAGCGAAAGCGUUAAGUAUUCCACCUGGGGAGUACGCCGGCAACGGUGAAACUCAAAGGAAUUGGCGGGG
rnacentral:rRNA from 1 species